rnacentral:rRNA from 1 species
CGUCGCGGGGGAGGAGACAGCAGACAGAGCGCCAGAAGAGGAGAGGGGGGUACCGGAGGCGGCUUUAGGGGUUGCGGCUGUGGCGCCUGGGGUUGGGAUCGGGGUUGGGGCGGCGGGCAAGCGGCAGUGGAGGCGAGGGCGGCGCGUUCGCGGCGGAGAGGGAGAGGGGAAGUGCCAGGUGGAGGGGGUCCGCGAGGCACAGAGCGAGGGCGAGGGGGGCGCUGGCGGCAUCGGCGUCGGCGUCGGCCUCGGCAUCGGCGUCGGCGUCGGCAUCGGCGUCAGCGUCAGCCUCGGCAUCAGGCGCGGUCGGGCUUCCGUUCGCCGCCGCCGUUUUGCUGGAGUGGCAGCUCCGCACGGCGCUGAUGGACGCGCUGUCCACGUGGGCGAGGCUGGAGCUCACGUUCAUACGCGUGGGCGUGGUUAGGCAAAGGCAGCUGGCCCUGAGGUUCCACUGGCGUACGCGGCUAAGCGACUCCUUGUUGACGAAGGCCCCGUCUUGGACGGCGAUGAUGGUGGGCGGAGGAGUAUAUGUCCUCAGGAACGACUCUAGUUAACCAAACCUGCAGGGUGGCCACUUCUGCCAAACGUCUCUAAAGCGUGCACCCGCUACAAGUUCUAGUCGUUUGCUCACGGCGAAGAACGUGGUAAGUAGACAAGUUCUCACACGUUAACAAACGGUUCUAAAGAACGCACCCUCCACACUGGCAUAUAGUACAUCCAUGUGAGUACAAUAUCGUGUUGGUUACGAUGGGGGUGGUUACUCCCUACAAGGGUACGUUUACGGUAUAGGACUCUACCAAAUGUACGGUGGUGGUGGUGGUGGUGACCCUCAUGGAUACUACCGAGGAGGAGAGAGCGGAGGAUCUCCAAAACGACUAUUGUUCUCGUGUCACCUUCAAACGUCCCUGAUGAACUUCUUUUACACGUUAUCUCUUAGUACAUCUAAACGUGUGGGACUAAGUGUUUGACUCCACCGUGUACUGUUCCAACUUCAAACGGCACUAAAAUUUGCUCCUCUUACGUGAGCUGGAUGUACGGCGAAAAUGGUGGGUAGGAGUUCGACUUCAAGACAAUCUAUUUCAUUUCAUUGGGUAUAGGUCACUAAUAAAAAAAGAAGAGGUUUAGACCUUAGUCUGAUCAUUAUAUACCGACGACUUAUGUAUUCAUUGUAUUGUGUUCUCCGGUAUAUGGAAUCUUAUGAAAUAGAGAUCAAUUGGAAAUUGUAAUUAAGGAAAACCUAAACAGGUAAGUUUUAUCGACCUCGUUACGAUUGAAAAAAAAUCCUAACGGUGUAAAAAAGACAGUUUACAAGUACAGUAUACUUAUUAGUUUACACACGAUCUCCCCGUGGUAAACUAUGUAAACAUACAGGUACACUUAAUCCCCACCGGUACGAUCUUUACAAAACCAGAUUCUAACGUUAAAAACAGGUAGUCUACCAGUAGGUAAAAACGAUUCGACUGUACACGACAAGAUUACAACAUUAUACCCUAAUAAAACCAGCAGAAACUAAGGUAUAGUCUACAGUGAGUCAAAAUAUACUAGUUGAUACAAGACAUCGGUCUACUCGAGAAGGAAAAUACAAAGAGAAUCUACGUACUUGAGGUAUUGUCGCUGUUCAAUGGACAAUCUAUCCAAAUCACAAGAUCUCAUAGUACGUUCAAACACCACAACCCUGAUCCAAACAUAUAAAGACUACUUAAUAUCCAAGUAUACAGACUACUUUACCCGGACAGUAUACAAGUCGAUUACGUAAAGGGGAGGUAAGUUACUUGAAAAAUUCAUAACACCAUCUACUCAAUAAGUAAAUACCGGUUCUUAAGAACGUUCACAAUGAUACCAACACGAACAUUAUCAGAUUUCUCUUUUACUCAAUACAAAAAUAUAACUAGAAGGUCACCAGGUCGUAGGAUUAUUUAUCACACGAGAUUGUCGAAGUUUCAACACGAGACUAUUGGAUCAGUAGACCGUACUUAGUACGGAUUGAGUCACACAAAAUCACAUUCUAGACCACCUUCAACUGAUGAUAUGAUGUAUUUUGAGGUAACCGGUUACCCAGUCAGUCACACAUCGAACGACUAAAACGGAAAUAAUUUGUUCAACUUACGAGUCUCAAUAGUAACAAAUCAAAAAAUCAAAAUUAAAUCGAGACAAAUUGUUCACCUAUGAGGAACAAAGGAGUCAGAAAGUACGGGGCGAGACGACGACGACGGCGGCGGCGACGACGAUUAGGACGAUGGCGACGCUUUCUCGACGACGCGACCGACAAUACUACGAUUCCACGGUAUCUCAUACUCUGGCAGCGUUCACGAUACAGAGACCUUCCUUUUGUUUUGAACAAUGAUAGCACACUACAAGUCUACCAAACGAACUUGAACUGAGUCGAGGCUUCAUCAGAAGAAGUGUUACCUGAAACGUACACGCCAACCACAUAAACGCAAGUAUUUCUACAAAAUCUGAAAAGCGACGCUAAACGAAACCACAAAACGUAUUAACUUAGAACAAAUGGUAGUGAACAUUGGAAAAUGUGUAACAACGAAGUAGAACACGCGGCGGUAGAUCAGAUCAAGUUUAAACUUGGUAGGAACCUAAAAGACCACGGUUUUUAUGUAGGCCUGCCCUAAGUUUGGAGGUUAAUACAUGGCUCACUUACCUCCGACGGUUGUAUCGGGUUACUUUUAACAACUAAAUGGCAGCGCCGGCACUGAAGAACUUGGCAAACACCGGCAUCGCAACGGG